rnacentral:snRNA from 1 species
GUGUUGGCUUCUGCAACACAUAUACUAAAAUUGUACAUCAAUGACACAGAGAUUAGCAUGACCCCUGCAUAGGGGUUUGUUUCGCAAACUUUGUGAAACAUUUCAUAUAAAU